GGCUGAAUAGCUUAGUGGUAAGAGCAGUCGCCCGGCAAGCGAAAGACUCGGGUUCGAUUCCCGAUUCAGCGA
rnacentral:tRNA from 1 species